CUUAAGUUAUAUCACAUGUCAUUGAAUUGAAAACUGACAAUUAUGUCACCCCUGUUUUUCAAACAGUUUGGAUACAUAAAAGCUCCAGAUACAUAAUAUAUCAGACACUCAAUUGAUUGCAGACUUACCUUGCAAGAGUUUGUAUCAUUACGAAUUAGUACUAAUGUUGGUAGCAUUUUUCGUCCGGCAAAUGUUUGGACUCAAUUAAGUGAAAAACAAACAAACUUUUAAACUUUCCCCUUUUUGGCUGCUGAUUUUUUGCAUUAUUUUAAUAGAACUAAUAAAAUAAUGUUAUUGCAGAGAUUAAAUGUCAACAUAAAAUUAUUGCAGCG
rnacentral:lncRNA from 1 species